GGGAGGGGCGGGGGGCGGUGGUUUCUGGGUGGUUCUCCGCCGGCCGGGGAAGCGCUUCCUGCGGGGUCCUGGGCAGGCGGCUGUGCUGGCUGGCUUAGAGAGCCAACACGGGACACAGCCGCAUUGGACGAGAGCCAUCAUGUAAUAGGUGGUCCAUGGUCUGUCAUCCUGGUCAGAAUAUGGGAAGAUGCUUCCAGAUGUUGAAGAGGCUACAAGGGCAUCACGUGGGAUGUAUGGUGGACAGGACCUGCGAAUGGUGUUGAGUGUGACUGUCUGACAGACCAGAAUUGAGGCCCAGGGAUCGCGUCUGCUUCAUUCAUGGCAUUAUGCUAAGUGUCUCCAAGAGUCCUGCAUAUAGUAGGUACUUAAUGUAUUGUUGAGUGAAUGAAGUCCAACCAGAACCACCCUAGAUGUCUGAGUGGGCCUGGGCCCCUCUGCUUCCCUAGUGAUCCCUAAUUGGCUACCCCAAGGACAAGGACCAAGACCAGCUGGAUGGAAUCUCAAACUCCUUGACAGGGUGCUUUUCCAUAUGUUUUCCAGACUCAGAAAGGCCACAUCCCAGUGAUGGUAGAGGCCGACUGCUUUUCACAGGGGACAGAGAAAUAAUAACCGUGAGCAACCACAGCACAUCCUGCAGCCCCUUCUGCAGAGCCAGGCAGCAAGUAAGCACCUGCCGUGGCUGAUCCCAUGAUUUCCUACAAUAACCCUAAGAAGUUCAUCUUCCUACCACUCCACUUUUCAGAAGAGAUAAGUGAAGCUCAGAGAGGUGUGUUGACAUUUCACAGACACACAGUUAGUAGGUGAGAGACUCACCACUGUGCUAUGGAGGGGCUGGCACUCACCUGUGGAACACCUGGUCCAGGACCUGUUGGGUGGUGGUGAAGGUGGCGAUGGUACGUGGAUGAGAAGGUGGUGAUGUAGGAGAUGUCUCCAUCCAGGAAGGCUGGUACCAGGGCCUCUGCUAGCUUCUCUGUUAUGCCUGUCUUGGGGGUCAGCGUUGUGCAGGUCUCAUCCUGUGCCAGAGUUGACUCCUUUUCACACCGAGUGGACAAGGAGGGACAUGUAGUCAGUGGCAUCACCAUGAGCCACCAGGAAGAUCAGGGUUUGGAGUUCAGACCAGAAGCUCUCAUCACCUCAGGAACUUGGGCAAGAGGAGGGACAUGAGAGCCCACACAGAAAAAGGUUCUAGGCUUUAACAGCAUCAUUUGAUUUUGGGGAGAAUGAUAAACAACUGGUACCUUCCAGGCAUUUUUUGAGCUGAGAAACAAUAGCACGUCCCAGUAUUAAUAGCCUGUGUUAAGUGCCUUAUCCCAGUGAAUCAUCAACAAACUUCCCCACUGUAGAUAUUGGAAAACAGAGGGUUAGAGAUUUUAAGUGGCUGCUCCAGAUCACGCAGGUCAGAACCUAGGACUGUCCAUAGCAUGGGCUACAUGACAUUCCCUCUCAACUGGAGGCUUGGUCUGCUCCUGACACGGAGGGGAAGGCUCUGGGGAAACUGCAUUCCUGGGAGGAUCCCAGGGGAGUCACCAGAUUCCAGUCUGGGUUCUGGGUCCACCCCAGUCACCUGGGGGUCCUGGAUGUGGAGACCCCGUGUGCCCCUACUUACCCAAGACCACGGUUGGCUGUUGUUGGUUGCCAGAUGCAUCUGCCCCUUGUCUAGGGAGGUGGAGUAGUUGAAGCCGUCAAUCAGCUCCUCGACGAUGUCCUGGGUGGAGCUCUACUAAGGCAGAGCCUGGUGCUGGGCCAGUAAGCAUCAGGGACUUUCCACCCAAUUGGUGGUUCUAUGUUAUGGCAGACCUAGUAAACUAACAGACUAUGAGGACACACUUCAGAUGUUCCCUGCAGCACUGCUGAAAUGGCAACAGAAUUGAAUCAUGUCAAGGUCCAACAACAUUGAAAGGUUGAAUUGCUGUGGCAAAUGACUUCCUUUAUGAGAUAUUGUGAAGUCACAUAAAGCCACAGCUCCUGAUCUGACAGACCUACAAUGAUUAGAUGUGUUCUGUGAGGUGACAAGUUGCAGAGAAAUGUAUAGAAUCAAGUAAUCCCACGCCCCUCCUUUGUGUAGAAGUCACCCUCUGAAGUGUGAUGAUUUGUAAGGCUUGGAGAAGCUCUGCAAGGACAGUGGAGCUGAUUGUUCCACAGGAUACCUGGAGUGAGUCAUUAAAAAAAUCAAAACAGUGGCAAAGUGCUGAUGCUCAUAAAAAGCGGCCUUGUGAAAAGUGAAAGCAACAUUAAAUAUUUUCUCUACCAUUCCAACAAGAAAGUGAGGAGUAUAUUUCUACUCUACCACGUAGUGGACUGGUAGCUCCUGGAAGACAGAGACCACUUGGCCAUUUUCAGCACUGGACUUGGACACUCCAAGGUACCUGGCAUGGGAUGAGUUCUCAGAGCAUCAUCUCUGAAGAAGUAAAAGGGAAGAUCUUGGAGCUCUUCUUCCUUCCUCUGACCAGGUCGUUCCAUAGAGAUGAUCACUAACAACAAGAGGUGCAUGUUGUUUCCGAGGCAGGGGCAUGGCCAGAAUGACCUUUGCGUGACUGUUUCUGCUUCAGUCGCUCCAGGAAAGCUCAGGGGGCACCACUGACACAGGAGGCUGUCUUUCCCUGAUGGCCAGCACUAUAACGGCAGCCCCUGGCAGGAAGCUUUAGUUGGGUGACCUGGAGGCAGAGGCCCUCCAGAGUCCCAGGGGUAAAGGAGCAGGACCUGCAGGGUUUCAGGGCUGUGUAAGGGACCUCAGAAGACACUCUUGCCCUCUCUUUGCCUCUCUAUUCUGCGGUGUCUAGUUUGCUCAAAAGUCGUCUUCACCUCAGCCAGGGCAGUGAUUCCCCCUACUUCCAAAUGAGGACUCCCAGGAUCCGAUUAUGAGUGAUCUUGCUCUCAGACCCCUGACUCUCAGUCCCUGGCUCUGCCGCAUUCUGCCCUACCCCAAAUCUUUAAUCCCCGAGCUCCUCUCUGCCCUGAAGGACAUUCAGGCAGUGAAAAGCAUAUACCCAUUGUCCUCAGAGCACAGUGGGUCAUUGGUAGAGAACCAAGGUCUACAGACUUUACAAGCAUGCAGAACCCUUGGGACCAGCCACUGCAAGCACCCAAUUUGUAGAGAAGGAAACAGACCUUCUCUCCUGUAGUCCUUGUCUAUACUAGAGGAUAGGGUGUGCUCAGCCCAGUUCCAGGGGCCCAGAGUGGUGGAGUGCAGGACCCUAGACCUUGUCCUCUGGAGACUACUGUGGAGAUGGCCUCUGCCCAGGCAGGACGGUGGAAAAUUUAAGGAUCACCCUCAUGCUAUGGACCCCUGGACAUGUUGGCAGGAGAAUGGAUGCCCUAUUCCAUUGCAGAGCUGUCUCAAGCCCCUUUCUUCUCUUUCCCUUGUCACUUACAGGGUCUAUGCUCUUCUUAACUACCCUCCCAUGGCCCCCAACUGUGAAGUUGGCUUCUGUUUGUGCAUGCCUGUGCCUCAUGAGGAUACAGGAAGGAAAAUGGCCCAAACUGGGAGGGGCUGGGCAGAGUUCACCGAGAUCUUAGGGGCUGUCAUUUCAAAAUUAAAUGUGAUUGGAGGGGUUGAGCCAGUGUCCUCAUUUUUCUUCUUGACUGUGCCCAUGUACUGUUCUCUGGGCCAGUCCCUGCCCCUUUCUGGGCUUCAGUUUCCCAACUAUACAAAGAGACAUUGAAUGCAGAACUUCAUAAGUGCAUGCACAGCAGGACACGUUGUCAGGCUCCAUCAACACUGGAUGGGCUGUUGGAGUGCCAGGUUCCAGUGGGCACAGGUGCAUUGGCCUCCUAACAUGGGUUGAUGCUGGUGGACAUGGAACAGGAGUGUCCAGGUCUCCUAUCAAGGGCCCAGUGCUCACAAGUGGCCAGGUGCAGGCCCCAGGACAAAGAGUGCACCUGAGCCCUGCCUUGUCUCUGCACCAGCAUAUGCACUGCACCAGCUGUUCUGCUUAUGAGUGAGUUCUUUGCCAUCCCCACCUGCAACUUCUGAGCACCAACAUCUUCUGGAGCCCCAUAGGUGCCCCCAGUGCAGUCAGGUGGGUCCUCAGGGUGCUGGACCUGGUGGGCCUGCAGAGCCUGGAAAGAGAGAAUCUCUUUUCUAUUUUCUCUCUCAGCUUUGUCACAUUUUUGAAUUCAAUAAUUUUGUCAUAGUAUGACUGAGCUUGAGCAUAUUUUCAUAUAUUUAGGGCUAUUUAUAUAUCUUUUCCCAUAAACUUUGGGUUCAUGUGUUUUGCCAAUUUUUCUACAGUGUGUGUUCUUUUCCUUAUUAAUUUCUAGGAACUUUUUAUAUAUUGGGGACAUGAACCCUUUUGUGAUAUGAAUUGCAAAUAUUUCUUCGCAGUUUAUCAUUUCUUCCUUGUUAUUAUGAUGUUUUGCUUUGGCUCAGGUUUUUUUUUUUUAAUGUUCUUGUUUGUUUUGCUAUGUGUUGCUAAGAUGUCACUUGUCUCCUAAUUGAUCUAAGAUUCAUACAAUCGCAAUAAAGUAUCUCAGCAGAUAU